rnacentral:rRNA from 1 species
AACGGAGAGUUCGAUCCUGGCUCAGAAUGAACGCUGGCGGCGUGGAUUAGGCAUGCAAGUCGAACGAGAAAGCAUUCUUCGGAUUGCGAGUACAGUGGCGAACGGGUGAGUAACGCGUGGGAAACCUGCCCUCGAGUGUGGAAUAACAGCUCUAACGGGCUGCUAAUACCGCAUAACAUUGCAGACCGCAUGAUCUGCUCUCAAAGAUGGCCUCUACUUGUAAGCUGUCGCUUGAGGAUGGUCCCGCGUCCCAUUAGCUAGUUGGUGAGGUAACGGCCCACCAAGGCUACGAUGGGUAGCCGGCCUGAGAGGGUGGUCGGCCACACUGGAACUGAGACACGGUCCAGACUCCUACGGGAGGCAGCAGUCGAGAGGCUUCGGCAAUGGGGGAAACCCUGACCGAGCGACGCCGCGUGGGUGAUGAAGUCCUUCGGGAUGUAAAACCCUGUCAUACGGGAUGAAAAGUAGAUCGGUUAAUAGCCCUUCAGCUUGACAGUACCGUAAGAGGAAGCUCCGGCCAACUCCGUGCCAGCAGCCGCGGUAAUACGGGGGGAGCGAGCGUUAUUCGGAUUCACUGGGCGUAAAGGGUUCGUAGGCGGUCAGGUAGGUCAGGGGUGAAAUCCAACGGCUUAACCGUUGAACGGCCUCUGAAACCGCCUGACUUGAGGACAUGAGAGGAAAGCGGAAUUCUCGGUGUAGCGGUGAAAUGCGUGGAUAUCGAGAGGAACACCAGUGGCGAAGGCGGCUUUCUGGCAUGUUACUGACGCUGAGGAACGAAAGCUAGGGGAGCGAACGGGAUUAGAUACCCCGGUAGUCCUAGCCGUAAACGAUGGGCACUAGGUGUGGGAGGUAUCGACCCCUUCCGUGCCGCAGUUAACGCAUUAAGUGCCCCGCCUGGGGAGUACGGCCGCAAGGUUGAAACUCAAAGGAAUUGACGGGGGCCCGCACAAGCGGUGGAGCAUGUGGUUUAAUUCGAUGAUACGCGAAGAACCUUACCGGGGUUUGACAUGCAGGUGAUCGCCGUUGAAAGACGGUUUCCUCUUCGGAGGCACCUGCACAGGUGCUGCAUGGCUGUCGUCAGCUCGUGUCGUGAGAUGUUGGGUUAAGUCCCGCAACGAGCGCAACCCUUAUCCCCAGUUGCCAUCAGGUAAAGCUGGGAACUCUGGGGAGACUGCCGGUGAUAAACCGGAGGAAGGCGGGGAUGACGUCAAGUCCUCAUGGCCCUUACAUCCCGGGCUACACACGUGCUACAAUGGCAGGUACAGAGGGCUGCAAAGCCGCGAGGUAGAGCGAAUCCCAGAAAACCUGUCUCAGUCCGGAUUGAAGUCUGCAACUCGACUUCAUGAAGGCGGAAUCGCUAGUAACCGCGAAUCAGCAGGUCGCGGUGAAUACGUUCCCGGGCCUUGUACACACCGCCCGUCAAGCGAUGGAAGCCGGGGGUACCCGAAGUCAGUGGCCUGACCGCAAGGGGGGAGCUGCCUAAGGUAAAACCGGUGACUGGCGCUAAGUCGUAACAAGGUAGCCGUAUCGGAAGGUGCGGCUGGAUCACCUCCUUUCUUAAGGA